UACGUAGGGUGCGAGCGUUGUCCGGAAUUAUUGGGCGUAAAGAGCUCGUAGGCGGUGUGUCGCGUCGGCCGUGAAAACCUGGGGCUUAACUCUGGGCGUGCGGUCGAUACGGGCAUCACUGGAGUUCGGCAGGGGAGACUGGAAUUCCUGGUGUAGCGGUGAAAUGCGCAGAUAUCAGGAGGAACACCGGUGGCGAAGGCGGCGAUCUGGGUCGAUACUGACGCUGAGGUGCGAAAGCGUGGGGAGCAAACAGG
rnacentral:rRNA from 1 species